rnacentral:rRNA from 1 species
AUGAACGCUGGCGGCGUGCCUCAUACAUGCAAGUCGAGCGAACAGACGAGGAGCUUGCUCCUCUGACGUUAGCGGCGGACGGGUGAGUAACACGUGGAUAACCUACCUAUAAGACUGGGAUAACUUCGGGAAACCGGAGCUAAUACCGGAUAAUAUAUUGAACCGCAUGGUUCAAUAGUGAAAGACGGUUUUGCUGUCACUUAUAGAUGGAUCCGCGCCGCAUUAGCUAGUUGGUAAGGUACCGGCUUACCAAGGCAACGAUGCGUAGCCGACCUGAGAGGGUGAUCGGCCACACGGGAACUGAGACACGGUCCAGACUCCUACGGGAGGCAGCAGUAGGGAAUCUUCCGCAAUGGGCGAAAGCCUGACGGAGCAACGCCGCGUGAGUGAUGAAGGUCUUCGGAUCGUAAAACUCUGUUAUUAGGGAAGAACAAAUGUGUAAGUAACUAUGCACGUCUUGACGGUACCUAAUCAGAAAGCCACGGCUAACUACGUG